rnacentral:tRNA from 10 species
GUCUCCGUAGCUCAGUUGGAUAGAGCACACGCCUCCUAAGCGUGGGGCCGGCAGUUCAAAUCUGCCCGGGGACGCCA